AGAGUUUGAUCCUGGCUCAGGACGAACGCUGGCGGGGUGCCUAAUACAUGCAAGUCGAACGCUUCGAAUCAACUGGGUGCUUGCAUUCAAGAGAAGAAGAGUGGCGAACGGGUGAGUAACACGUGGGUAACCUACCCAUAAGCGGGGGAUAACAUUCGGAAACGGAUGCUAAUACCGCAUAGAUGAUUUUUCCGCAUGGGAAGAUAAAGAAAGGCGGCGUAAGCUGCCACUUAUGGAUGGACCCGCGCCGUAUUAGCUAGUUGGUGAGGUAAAGGCUCACCAAGGCGAUGAUACGUAGCCGGCCUGAGAGGGUGAACGGCCACACUGGGACUGAGAUACGGCCCAGACUUUUACGGAAGGCAGCAGUAGGGAAUCUUCCGCAAUGGACGCAAGUCUGACGGAGCAACCCCGCGUGAGUGAAGAAGGUUUUCGGAUCGUAAAACUCUGUUGUUAGAAAAGAAUAGGGAUAAGAGUAACUGCUUAUCUUGUGACGGUAUCUAACGAGGAAGCCACGGCUAACUACGUGCCAGCAGCCGCGGUAAUACGUAGGUGGCGAGCGUUGUCCGGAAUUAUUGGGCGUAAAGCGAGCGCAGGUGGUCUAUUAAGUCUGAUGUGAAAUCCCCCGGCUCAACCGGGGAAGGUCAUUGGAAACUGGGAGACUUGAGUGCAGAAGAGGAAAGUGGAAUUCCAUGUGUAGCGGUAAAAUGCGUAGAUAUAUGGAGGAACACCAGUGGCGAAGGCGACUUUCUGGUCUGAAACUGACACUGAGGCUCGAAAGCGUGGGGAGCAAACAGGAUUAGAUACCCUGGUAGUCCACGCCGUAAACGAUGAGUGCUAAGUGUUGGAGGGUUUCCGCCCUUCAGUGCUGCAGCAAACGCAUUAAGCACUCCGCCUGGGAAGUACGACCGCAAGGUUGAAACUCAAAGGAAUUGACGGGGGCCCGCACAAGCGGUGGAGCAUGUGGUUUAAUUCGAAGCAACGCGAAGAACCUUACCAGGUCUUGACAUCCUUUGCAGGCUCUAGAGAUAGAGGUUCCCUUUUGGGACAAAGAGACAGGUGGUGCAUGGUUGUCGUCAGCUCGUGUCGUGAGAUGUUGGGUUAAGUCCCGCAACGAGCGCAACCCUUAUGACUAGUUGCCAGCAGUAAGAUGGGCACUCUAGUGAGACUGCCGGUGACAAACCGGAGGAAGGUGGGGAUGACGUCAAAUCAUCAUGCCCCUUAUGACCUGGGCUACACACGUGCUACAAUGGAUGGAACAAAGAGCAGCGAACUCGCGAGGGGGAGCGAAUCUCAAAAAACCAUUCUCAGUUCGGAUCGUAGGAUGCAACUCUCCUACGUGAAGCCGGAAUCGCUAGUAAUCGCGGAUCAGCACGCCGCGGUGAAUACGUUCCCGGGCCUUGUACACACCGCCCGUCACACCACGAGAGUUUGUAACACCCGAAGCCGGUGAGGUAACCGAAAGGAGCUAGCCGUCUAAGGUGGGAUGGAUAAUUGGGGUGAAGUCGUAACAAGGUAGCCGUAUUGGAAAUUGCGGCUGGAUCACCUCCUU
rnacentral:rRNA from 1 species